GCCCCCGUAGCUCAGGGGAUAGAGCGUCGGUUUCCUAAACCGUGCGUCGCAGGUUCGAGUCCUGCCGGGGGCGCUA
rnacentral:tRNA from 2 species